UAUAAAAAUCUUUGCAGCUAAAGACAGUGAAGAGAAGGCAGAAAAGCCAAUAAAAACCAUUGUAGUUGAAGAUAGUGAAGAGAUAGUGAAUGCGAAAAAAAGCUACAUAGUUGAUGAUACAAAACAUAAUCAAACCAGGUAAUAAAACAAUUCACUCUAUGGAUCCUAUGGGAGAACAGAUAAUUUUCAUCACAAAAGAAGAAGUGAA
rnacentral:lncRNA from 1 species